AAUAAGUUUAUUUUUACUUUUGGGAUACAAUAUUUGACUAUGUCUUAUUUAAGAUUUUUUAUUAUUAUUAGAUGAUAAAACAUUAAUAAUAUUUUACGCGUAACUAAUUUUUUAAGUUUUUUUUAUAAAAUUUUCAAAUAAGACGGAUGGUCAAACACUGGACAUGUAAACU
rnacentral:pre_miRNA from 1 species